UGGAUCAAUGAUGUUCGCAGUUGGCGGUGGCGUGUGAGUUUUGUACAAUGAAUACAUGUGGAUCUGAGGUCCAG